GUGAGGAAUAUUGCGCAAUGGAGGCAACUCUGACGCAGCCAUGCCGCGUGCAGGAAGAAGGCGCUACGCGUUGUAAACUGCUUUUAACCGGGAAGAAACCCCAGGACGUGUCCUGGGUUGACGGUACCGGAGGAAUAAGCACCGGCUAACUUCGUGCCAGCAGCCGCGGUAAUACGAAGGGUGCAAGCGUUAUCCGGAUUCAUUGGGUUUAAAGGGUGCGUAGGCGGAGCGUUAAGUCAGUGGUGAAAUCCUGCAGCUUAACUGUAGACUUGCCAUUGAUACUGGCGCUCUUGAGUGCGCUUGAAGUGGGCGGAAUGUGCCGUGUAGCGGUGAAAUGCUUAGAUAUGACACAGAACACCAAUUGCGAAGGCAGCUCACUAAGGCGAUACUGACGCUGAGGCACGAAAGCGUGGGGAUCGAACAGGAUUAGAAACCCCAGUAGUCC
rnacentral:rRNA from 1 species